UUAAUGUCUUCAGCUGUGGUGCUUUGGGUUGGUUUGUUGCCUGGAAUAUAGACAGUUUAUUUUAUUUUAUUUAUUUAUUUAUUUAUCUGUUUAUUUAUUUAUUUAAUUUAUUUAUCUGUUUAUUUAUUUAUUUAUUUAUUUAUCUGCCUCCAGGGUUGUUGCUGGGCUUGGUGCCUGCACAACGAAUCCACUGCUCCUAGAGGUCAUUGUUUCCCUUUUGUUAUCCUGGUUGUUUUUAUCGUUGUUGUGGUUAUUAUUAUUAUUGCUAUUGAUGUCAUAUUUUUGUAUAGGACAGAGAGAAAUGGAGAGAGGAGGGGAAGACAGAGAGGGGGAGAGAAAGACAGACACCUGCAGACCUGCUUCACCGCCUGUGAAGCGACUCCCCUGCAGGUGGGGAGCCGGGGGCUCAAACUGGGAUCCUCACACCAGGCCUUGCACUUCACACCAUGUGCGCUUAACCCGCUGCGCUACUGCCCGACCCCCAGACAUUUUAUUUUAUUUUUUCUUUUUGCCACCAGGGUUAUAGCUGGGGCUUGGUGCCUGCAUGACUAAUCCAGCUGUCUUGGUGGUGAGUCCAUCUACCCUUCCCCCCUUUCCUUUUAUUUGGUAGGGCAGGGAAAAAUUGAGAGGGGAGGGGGAGAUAGAAAAGGAGAGAGAGAGAGAAGCUCAACCCUGCUUCACCUCUCAUGAGGCUUCCUCUGCAGGUGGGGUGGGGGCUUGAACCCGGGUCCUUGUGCAUGGUAGUGUGUGCACUCACCCAGGAUAUAUGUGUCUUCCCCACCGCCAGGAGCCAGGCUCCCUCUUAGCAAGAAAGGUCUGAGGCCACGGCCCCUGGCAGAGGAGCUGGGUGUGAACUCCUAUGUGGGGCCGUGACUCUGACUGGGCUGGCCCAGCCUGUCCUGUGCAGACCCUCCUGCAGGUGGCCGGGGCUCGUGUCUGCACCCUGUGGCCCGGCCCGGGAGGCCUGGUGCUCUGGGAUGAGUCCGGUGCUGCCUGAGCUUUCAUUCUCGGGGCUCUGCGCCGGAGACCAUAAUGCAAAGUCCAGGGUGUCUUGAGUAAGUGAGCGGCAGGGCACAUAGGAUGCUGUUUACUCAAGAGAGCCCGUCACGCAAAGCCGCUUGCCCAAGCUGCUCUGAAACACCGCGUCACCAGACCACCUUGCGACAGGUGCAGCCCCAGGGAGGUGCUGGUGUCUGCUGGGCUUGGGCAGUACGUACUCUCAGAGCCAUUGGGCCUGGCUGCUGAGGGCAGAGCAGAGGCCUGGGAACUGUCCAUGGGCAGACUGGUCCUCUCCAGGAUGCUUCAGUUCCGUUUUCCGGCUUGCCACUUCCACCUCGGAAGAUAUAAAUGCAGAUGAAUAAAGCCAGCAUUGCACUGCGUUCCCGCUCAGCCACAAGAGUUCCUGGUUCCUCUCCCACAUCACUGACCUGAAAUCUGAUAUGCAGGUGGAUCCAAGUUAUUGUCUGGGGAGAUGAUGUCAUGGCUGAAAAGGAACAGAAAGCUGGAUCAGGGAAGAGAGUAGCUCCCUAAUAUGGAAAAGGGGUAUAAAUAUUGUUGACUGUAAACCCCACUGAUUUGAUUUGGUCUGGGGUUAUUUCUGCAACUGUCUGCAUUUAUAUGUGUCUGCCCAUAGAAAGGUGAAUCUCAACAUUGUUGAGGGAGGGCCCCAGGGAGGCUGUUUGUGGUCUGCUCAGCAGCAGGGGCACCAGGACCAAUGUCCCCAGGAGGAUGAUGGGAACCUGAUCACCCAUCACCACACCCUACUGAGUACAGAGAAGGGGGUAGGUGAUCUCACAAAGAGGCAAAGUAUCAGGUAAGUGCUCAUGGCCUGAGCACAAGGACCAGUGUAAGGAUGCUGGUCCAAGCCCCCAGCUUCCCACCUGCAGGGGAGUUGCUUUACAAGUGGUGAAGCAGGUCUGUAAGUGUCUUUCUUUCUCUCCUCCUCUCUAUCUUACCCUCUUCUCGAUUUUUCUCUGUCCUAUACAAGAACAAUGACAGCAAAGACAACAAUAAUAAUAACAAUGACGAUAAACAACAAGGACAACUAAAGGGAAAAAUGGCCUCCAGCAGUGGAUUUGUAGUGCAGGCUCUGAGCCCGGCAAUAACCCUGGAGGCAAAUAUCAUUUCGCCAAGACAAGGCUCAACAAGCCCACCGUCAGUGAGUGUCACAUGUGCAGCUGACCCUGGAUACAUCCUGCAGUCAGACUCAUGGUCCCUGGAGGAAGGAGCAGGAGGCUCCUGGGAGCCUCUGUGUGCGGGCUCUGUGCUCACACCCACCCCACCCCUGCCUUGCCUCCAGAGUGGGACUCACACCUGUCAUGUCAGCAUC